rnacentral:sRNA from 1 species
AUGGUCCUGUCGAAGUAGACCGUCUUGAGGCGCAGGCUGUCGCCGGCCGUGAACAGCCCGUCCC